GAAAUCUGUUUAAUCAAAACAAAGCAUCGCAAAGGCCCAAGGCGGGUGUUGACGCGAUGUGAUUUCUGCCCAGUACUCUGAAAGUAAAA
rnacentral:miRNA from 1 species